rnacentral:rRNA from 1 species
AUGAAUCUCGUAUGUUGGAACUGCCACGGCGCGGGCAAAGCCGCAAUAGUUCGAGAGCUUCGUGAUAUUGCGAGGUAAUUUGCCCCGGGUGUGCUCUGCAUUGUUGAGACACAAAUACCAAAAGCACGUGUCAAGAGUUUGGCUGAAAUAUUAGGAUUUGAUCAUUCUUAUGUUGUAAGUAGCUCAGGCCGCAGUGGUGGGCUAGGUUUAUUUUGGAACAACGGAAUAAAUAUUGAUGUGUUUGGUUAUUCGGAGUAUCAUAUUGAUGCCACCGUUACAUCUCUGGGAUAUGAUGAUUGGAGACUAACUUGCGUCUAUGGUGAAGCCCAAGUCAGUGAGCACUACCGAACUUGGUAUCUCCUAAAAUCCCCAGUGUCUGCUAGUACCCUACCUUGGCUGUGCAUAGGAGAUUACAAUGAAGUUCUUCAUCAACACGAGCACGUGGGAGCAGGCCAAAGAAGAUCACAGAUAGCAGGGUUCAGAGAUGCCAUCGACGUGUGCUCACUCGUGGACUUAGGGUACCAGAGCCGCCCAUGGACAUUCAAGAAGAAGACGGCGAGGGAGGUUACUACCGAGUCUGCCUUGACAGAGCAUUAG